rnacentral:rRNA from 1 species
AUUGAACGCUGGCGGCAUGCUUUACACAUGCAAGUCGAACGGUAACAGGCCUUCGGGUGCUGACGAGUGGCGAACGGGUGAGUAAUGCAUCGGAACGUGCCCAGAGGUGGGGGAUAACGCAGCGAAAGCUGUGCUAAUACCGCAUGUGAUCUGAGGAUGAAAGCGGGGGACCAGUCAGCAAUGUUUGGCCUCGCGCCUUUGGAGCGGCCGAUGUCAGAUUAGGUAGUUGGUGGGGUAAAGGCCUACCAAGCCGACGAUCUGUAGCUGGUCUGAGAGGACGACCAGCCACACUGGGACUGAGACACGGCCCAGACUCCUACGGGAGGCAGCAGUGGGGAAUUUUGGACAAUGGGCGCAAGCCUGAUCCAGCAAUGCCGCGUGCGGGAAGAAGGCCUUCGGGUUGUAAACCGCUUUUGUACGGAACGAAAAGGCUCUGGCUAAUACCUGGGGCUGAUGACGGUACCGUAAGAAUAAGCACCGGCUAACUACGUG